GUCCCCGUAGCGCAGUGGAUAGCGCGUUGGACUUCUAAUUCAAAGGUCGUGGGUUCGAUCCCCACCGGGGAUG
rnacentral:tRNA from 1 species